rnacentral:rRNA from 1 species
CACGGGCCCGCUUCCAAGCGCGUCUGCGUGUCGGCCACCCACGCCGUGUCCUUCAAGUGCCACUUCCACCGCACCAACUCCUAGGGUCACGGCCAUGGCCAGGGCCAGGGAAGCCGCCCUUCUUUGCCCCCUUCACCGGCCGCGGCCAACGCGGUGCCGCGGCACCCGGCCUCGCCGUCCUCGUCCUCCAGCACCGUCGCGACCCAGUGA